rnacentral:rRNA from 1 species
AGCGAACGCUGGCGGCAGGCCUAACACAUGCAAGUCGAACGAACCUUUCGGGGUUAGUGGCGGACGGGGGAGUACCACGUGGGAACGUGCCUUUAGGUUCGGAAUAACUCAGGGAAACUUGUGCUAAUACCGAAUGUGCCCUUCGGGGGAAAGAUUAAUCGCCUUUAGAGCGGCCCGCGUCUGAUUCGCUAGUUGGUUGAGGUAAUGGCUCACCAAGGCGACGAUCAGUAGCUGGUCUGAGAGGAUGAUCAGCCACAUUGGGACUGAGACACGGCCCAAACUCCUACGGGAGGCAGCAGUGGGGAAUCUUGCGCAAUGGGCGAAAGCCUGACGCAGCCAUGCCGCGUGAAUGAUGAAGGUCUUAGGAUUGUAAAAUUCUUUCACCGGGGACGAUAAUGACGGUACCCGGAGAAGAAGCCCCGGCUAACUUCGUG